UUUGUAAACUGAAAUCAAGGUGUAUUUAUUGCACAGGCACAAUAAAUGAACAAGGCAUCUUAAGUACUACAAUAACAGGUCAGUGGGUCAGGCACAGUGGCCUGGCUAGUCAUGAUUAGCAAAGGAACUUCAAAGAGUUUUGUAGCCUGUUUUAUAUCUGUGAAAUGGGAAUUAUUUCUAUUUCAAAGGUUUGAGGGGGUUUGCUGAGAGAAACUUCUUAGCAUGGGAUCUGCAGAAACUAGAAGCCACAGAGAAAGCAGGGGCCAGAGGGAGAAGGAACCGGACAGGCUGAUCACUUGGAGUGUUCGCCUAAGCAGGCUAGAAAUGGAGGCAGGGACCGUCAGGAAGCUCAAAACCUUUGCUUAAGCCGAGUUUGCAGAACGCCCUGUGAGAAUG
rnacentral:lncRNA from 1 species